rnacentral:rRNA from 1 species
UCGAGAAUUUUUCACAAUGGGCGCAAGCCUGAUGGAGCGACGCCGCGUGGGGGAUGAAUGGCUUCGGCCCGUAAACCCCUGUCAUUUGCGAGCAAAGCGCAUUAUUUAAAAGAUGAUGUGUUGCUAGUAGCGAAAGAGGAAGGGACGGCUAACUCUGUGCCAGCAGCCGCGGUAAUACAGAGGUCCCGAGCGUUGUUCGGAUUCACUGGGCGUAAAGGGUGCGUAGGUGGUGAGGCAAGUCGGAUGUGAAAUUCCGGAGCUUAACUCCGGAACGGCAUUGGAAACUGCCUUGCUGGAGGGUUGGAGGGGGGACUGGAAUUCUCGGUGUAGCAGUGAAAUGCGUAGAUAUCGAGAGGAACACCAGUGGCGAAGGCGAGUCCCUGGACAACACCUGACACUGAGGCACGAAAGCUAGGGGAGCAAACAGGAUUAGAUACCCUGGUAGUCCUAGCCGUAAACGGUGCACGUUUGCUGUAAGAGGAAUCGUCCCC